GGGAAAUCACACAACAUUGCAAAAGACAGAGUUGGGAUUUGAAAUCAAGUAUCUGACAUUAAUGAUCAUGCUUUUUUUAAAAAGAUAUUUAUUUAUUUGAGAUGGAGAGAUAGCACACAAGUGGGGGGAGGGGCAGAGGGAGAAGGAGAAGCAGACUCCCCACUGAGCAAGGAGCCCUAUGCAGGGCUUGAUCUCAGGACCUGAGGAUCAUGACUUGAACUGAAGGCAGACACUUAGCCCACUGAGCCACCCAGGUGCCCCAAUGAUCAUGCUUUCUACCAUCACACUUGGUCUUAUGAAAAUGAAUGGCAAAUCUCAGUAUUUUGAAAUAAGGAUGAGCAAAGAGAUUAAAGUUUUUCUAUAUAUUAAAUAUUUCUUCCUGUAAUUUUUCAUAUUAAUAUAUUCAUUCUAAAAAUGUGAGUUUUACUUAAUACUGACUGGGCUCACGUCUAUGAGGGGUGUUGUGAAGUCCAUUCAUAAGCAUAUAUUUUUUGCUUUAAAGGACAGAUACAUACACACCAACAUUGAAGUAUAAGUAACAGCGCAACCAGCAUGUAUAUUAUACAAUGUUCCAAAGACUAUUCUACUUGUGACUAUAAUUCUGUACUCAUGGUUUGUAACAUUCUUCCAGAGAUGUCAGAUGUGUGUAUAUGCCUGUGUGUGUGUGAGUGUGUGUGUUUAUGAAUAAUGUGAUUUCCUUGUGGGUGUGAAUUUCAUCCUCUCUGUGAUUCCUGUGCCCUAACCAUAUUGCUAGGCAACACAAAGCAACACACAUCCCACAUUCUCCUAAUUCCGUUUAAUGUUUCACCAAUGGACCUUUGGUUUUAUAUGCAAGCAGAAUCACACCAGUGGGCUUAGGAUUUUGGAUUUUUAAAUAAUCAACUGUCCACUCUUAUCAAACCAAAUGAUCAUGACUCUCAGAAACUAGCAGAAAUGAGGAAAAGCUGGCAUAAAGCAAAUAUACAUAUUUGCUUUAAAGCUUUGGUGAUAAUUAAUUAGUGAAACCUAAUGUGAUUCUUACAGGUGACAUCAAGGAGGGAGAGAGAGUACUGGCCUCCUUCCAAAGUACUCCUAGGACUUGGAGGGAAAUUGUAUGUGGAAUAUUCUUUCCAAUAUUGGUGGUGUGGCUCCUGUAUAAUUUGCCAGAUGAAAAUCAGGUGCACAUCUCUUCUGUCAAGAUAGAGACCAAUAUUUUCAGGGAAAAGUCAGAGAGAGGCAUCAGGAGGCAUGAAGCAUACUGGCAUGAGGCCUGCAGUGGACAAACACACAGAUCUUCAUCACUACAAAAAAGAUGCCUUGAUUUUCUCCCAUCCCAUCAAGCCAAACCUCAGAGGACCGCAGGAGGGAGAACUUGUAAGUCUUUACAAUGCUCAUCAGCAUUAUUUAAGAAGCAACAUCGCACAGGUCAGAAAGUCCUAUGAUGGCACUCUGAACUGACGCUCGACCUGUAAAACAAAUAGCAUAUUUUAAUACCUUAGUUGCAGGCUUAGGAAAAAGAACAACCAAAAUUUUUGCCUGUUGGGAGAUGAAAAUGACAUGGAAAUGAGGCCACUGGUAAGAACAACACAUACGGGAAAGUGUGAUUGUAUUAAUUACCUAAGGCUGUGUAACAGUUUCCCCAAAACUUAGUAGCUUAUUUUUUUAAAAGAUUUUAUUUAUUUCUUUGUUUUAGAGAGAGAGAGCACGAGUGGGGAUGGGGAGAGGCAGAAACAGGCUCUAUGCUCAGCAGGAGCCUGACUCAGGGUUUGAUCCCAGGACCCUGAGUUGAUGACCUGAGCUGAAGGCAGAUGCUUCGCCAACUGAGCCACCCAGGCAUCCCAAAAACUUAUUAGUUUAAAACAGUAAGAAACAUUUAUUACUUCACACAGUUUCAGUGCAUCUGGAACUGUUGAUUCUAUCUCAUGAUCUCUAAGGAGUUUAAAGUUAAGAUGACAGCCAAUGCUGCACUUGAAGGUUAGACUAGGGCUGGAUAAUCCACUUUCAAGAUGGUUUAUUCACAUAACUGGCAAGUCAGUGCUGGCAAGAGGAUUUACUUGGUCACCAUAUGGCUCCCUACAUGUCCUCACAAUAGUAUCUAGCUUCUCCAGAGUGGACAAUCCAAGACAGAGCCGGACAGAAGCCACAGCAUCUUUUAUAACCUAGUGCUGGAAAUCAUAGUGCGUCAAUUCCACAGUAUCCUAUUGGUUAGACAGGUCAUCCAUAUUCGGUGCAGCAGUGGACCACAUAAGGGUGUAAAGACUAGGAAGUGGGAAUCAUUGCAGGCUAUCUUGGAGGCUGGCCACCAUAAUGAUAGAGCCAUUUCUGUGCACACAAGAUUGAGUCGAGAUGCAUGUAUUGGUUGAGUGAUUAAUGGCACUGGACCAGUGGUCUCAGUGCAAGCUGCAAGCAGUGCCUGUAUCAGAAUGCCCUGAAGCACUUUAAAUGAUACUGAUUUCCCUGGCCUCUUCCCAUAUAUAGUCUGAUUAAAUCAAGGAUGAUGCUCAGAUCUAAGAAUUAUUGGAUUAGAUGAUCUCCAAGUUCAAGUCCAACCUUAACCCUGUUCCCCAAACUUUCCAGAUCAUGGGUGUGACCCAGGGAGUUUGUUUAAAAUACAGAGUUCCAGACCCCACCUCCAGUGUCAUGAAUUAGUAGCUCUAGGAAGGGCCCUAUAAAUCUGUAUUUCUGCUUGAUUUUUUAAAAUUUGGACCAAGUCAUUCAACAUGAUUGGAAAUUCUAAGAGGUAUGAAAGAAUUUCAUUAAGAAUUAUCUUUGCAAAAAAAAAAAAAAAAAAAAAAAAAGAAUUAUCUUUCCCAACCUUGUCCUCCCCAAAUCCCACCCAAUUCACCUUCCUAGAGAAGGUGAUCAUUAUCACUUUUUUGUGUGUGUGUAUAUAUUCUUCCAACAAUAAAUGAAUAUUUAAAACAUAUAUAUGUAUGUGU
rnacentral:lncRNA from 1 species